GUGGCAAGCGUUGUCCGGAUUUAUUGGGCGUAAAGCGAGUGCAGGCGGUUUUAUAAGUCUUAUGUGAAAGCCUUCGGCUUUACCGGAUUAGUGCAUUGGAAACUGGGAGACUUGAGUGCAGAAGAGGAGAGUGGAACUCCAUGUGUAGCGGUGAAAUGCGUAGAUAUAUGGAAGAACACCAGUGGCGAAAGCGGCUCUCUGGUCUGUAACUGACGCUGAGGCUCGAAAGCAUGGGUAGCGAAC
rnacentral:rRNA from 1 species